rnacentral:rRNA from 1 species
GAUGAACGCUGGCGGCGUGCCUAAUACAUGCAAGUCGAGCGAACGGACGAGAAGCUUGCUUCUCUGAUGUUAGCGGCGGACGGGUGAGUAACACGUGGAUAACCUACCUAUAAGACUGGGAUAACUUCGGGAAACCGGAGCUAAUACCGGAUAAUAUUUUGAACCGCAUGGUUCAAAAGUGAAAGACGGUCUUGCUGUCACUUAUAGAUGGAUCCGCGCUGCAUUAGCUAGUUGGUAAGGUAACGGCUUACCAAGGCAACGAUGCAUAGCCGAUCUGAGAGGGUGAUCGGCCACACUGGAACUGAGACACGGUCCAGACUCCUACGGGAGGCAGCAGUAGGGAAUCUUCCGCAAUGGGCGAAAGCCUGACGGAGCAACGCCGCGUGAGUGAUGAAGGUCUUCGGAUCGUAAAACUCUGUUAUUAGGGAAGAACAUAUGUGUAAGUAACUGUGCACAUCUUGACGGUACCUAAUCAGAAAGCCACGGCUAACUACGUG